CCUACGGGUGGCUGCAGUGAGGAAUAUUGGUCAAUGGGCGCGAGCCUGAACCAGCCAAGUCGCGUGAAGGAUGACUGCCCUCCGGUUUUUAAACUUCUUUUAUAAAGGAAUAAAGUGAGGCACGUGUGCCUUUUUGUAUUGACUUUAUGCAUAAGGAUCGGCUAGCUCCGUUCCAGCAGCCGCGGUAAUACGGAGGAUACGAGCGGUAUCCGGAUGUAUUUGGUUGAAAGGGAGUGUAGAGGGGUUGUUAAGUCAGGUGUGAAAGUUUAGGGCUCAACCGUACAAUUGCAAUUGAUACUGGCAGCCUUGAGUGCAGCUGAGGUAGGUGGAAUUCGUGGUGUAGCAGUGAAAUGCUUAGAUAUCACGAAGAACUCCGAUUGCGAAGGCAGCCUACUAAAAUGCAACUGACACUGAUGCUCGAAAGCGUGGGUAUCAAACAGGAUUAGAUACCCUAGUAGUC
rnacentral:rRNA from 1 species